GAAACCGAGUCUUAAUUGGGCGUUAAGUUGCAGGGUAUAGACCCGAAACCCGGUGAUCUAGCCAUGGGCAGGUUGAAGGUUGGGUAACACUAACUGGAGGACCGAACCGACUAAUGUUGAAAAAUUAGCGGAUGACCUGUGGCUGGGGGUGAAAGGCCAAUCAAACCGGGAGAUAGCUGGUUCUCCCCGAAAGCUAUUUAGGUAGCGCCUCGUGAAUUCAUCUCCGGGGGUAGAGCACUGUUUCGGCUAGGGGGCCAUCCCGGCUUACCAACCCGAUGCAAACUGCGAAUACCGGAGAAUGUUAUCACGGGAGACACACGGCGGGUGCUAACGUCCGUCGUGAAGAGGGAAACAACCCAGACCGCCAGCUAAGGUCCCAAAGUCAUGGUUAAGUGGGAAACGAUGUGGGAAGGCCCAGACAGCCAGGAUGUUGGCUUAGAAGCAGCCAUCAUUUAAAGAAAGCGUAAUAGCUCACUGGUCGAGUCGGCCUGCGCGGAAGAUGUAACGGGGCUAAACCAUGCACCGAAGCUGCGGCAGCGACACUGUGUGUUGUUGGGUAGGGGAGCGUUCUGUAAGCCUGUGAAGGUGUGUCGUGAGGCAUGCUGGAGGUAUCAGAAGUGCGAAUGCUGACAUAAGUAACGAUAAAGCGGGUGAAAAGCCCGCUCGCCGGAAGACCAAGGGUUCCUGUCCAACGUUAAUCGGGGCAGGGUGAGUCGACCCCUAAGGCGAGGCCGAAAGGCGUAGUCGAUGGGAAACGGGUUAAUAUUCCCGUACUUGGUGUUACUGCGAAGGGGGGACGGAGAAGGCUAUGUUGGCCGGGCGACGGUUGUCCCGGUUUAAGCGUGUAGGUGUGUGUUCCAGGUAAAUCCGGUUCACUUUAACACUGAGGCGUGACGACGAGGCACUACGGUGCUGAAGCAACAAAUGCCCUGCUUCCAGGAAAAGCCUCUAAGCAUCAGGUAACAUCAAAUCGUACCCCAAACCGACACAGGUGGUCAGGUAGAGAAUACCAAGGCGCUUGAGAGAACUCGGGUGAAGGAACUAGGCAAAAUGGUGCCGUAACUUCGGGAGAAGGCACGCUGACACGUAGGUGAAGUGAUUUACUCAUGGAGCUGAAGUCAGUCGAAGAUACCAGCUGGCUGCAACUGUUUAUUAAAAACACAGCACUGUGCAAACACGAAAGUGGACGUAUACGGUGUGACGCCUGCCCGGUGCCGGAAGGUUAAUUGAUGGGGUCAGCGCAAGCGAAGCUCCUGAUCGAAGCCCCGGUAAACGGCGGCCGUAACUAUAACGGUCCUAAGGUAGCGAAAUUCCUUGUCGGGUAAGUUCCGACCUGCACGAAUGGCGUAAUGAUGGCCAGGCUGUCUCCACCCGAGACUCAGUGAAAUUGAACUCGCUGUGAAGAUGCAGUGUACCCGCGGCAAGACGGAAAGACCCCGUGAACCUUUACUAUAGCUUGACACUGAACAUUGAGCCUUGAUGUGUAGGAUAGGUGGGAGGCUUUGAAGUGUGGACGCCAGUCUGCAUGGAGCCGACCUUGAAAUACCACCCUUUAAUGUUUGAUGUUCUAACGUGGACCCGUUACCCGGGUUGCGGACAGUGUCUGGUGGGUAGUUUGACUGGGGCGGUCUCCUCCUAAAGAGUAACGGAGGAGCACGAAGGUUGGCUAAUCCUGGUCGGACAUCAGGAGGUUAGUGCAAUGGCAUAAGCCAGCUUGACUGCGAGCGUGACGGCGCGAGCAGGUGCGAAAGCAGGUCAUAGUGAUCCGGUGGUUCUGAAUGGAAGGGCCAUCGCUCAACGGAUAAAAGGUACUCCGGGGAUAACAGGCUGAUACCGCCCAAGAGUUCAUAUCGACGGCGGUGUUUGGCACCUCGAUGUCGGCUCAUCACAUCCUGGGGCUGAAGUAGGUCCCAAGGGUAUGGCUGUUCGCCAUUUAAAGUGGUACGCGAGCUGGGUUUAGAACGUCGUGAGACAGUUCGGUCCCUAUCUGCCGUGGGCGCUGGAGAACUGAGGGGGGCUGCUCCUAGUACGAGAGGACCGGAGUGGACGCAUCACUGGUGUUCGGGUUGUCAUGCCAAUGGCACUGCCCGGUAGCUAAAUGCGGAAGAGAUAAGUGCUGAAAGCAUCUAAGCACGAAACUUGCCCCGAG
rnacentral:rRNA from 2 species